UAUGCCGAGCUACUGUAACCCGCUGGUGAGGGCCAUAAUCUUUGCCAACUAUUGUUCCCCGUUGGCAGGGUCUUCUUCCAAUUACUAUUACCCACUGGCGGGGGUCGUAAAGCCAAGUUACUUUUACCCACUGGCGGGGGUCAUAUGCCUAGUUACUGUUACCCACUGGCGGGGGUCGUGCAUAGCGAUCUGAGAGUUCUUAAAACAUAUCAUGCUUUUCAUAAAUCUUUUCUCAUAGAUACAUUGGAAAGUGAAUAAUGGCAUCAUGCUAAAUAAAACUCAUGAUCAUGCUGAAAACUUUAUUUUUCUAUGCAUCUUUCUACAUCAUUAUAAUCAUGUGUAUAUAAUAUAAUAUAAUAAUAAUCAUGAUCCAAAAUCAUGUAAUCAUUUGCUAACACAUGCUUGAUCCUAAUUUGGUGAAAAUAUAAAUAAUCAUAUACAAUUUCAUAAUCGAGUAGUCACAAGUAUUUGAUAAAAUAUAAGAUUAUAUCAGGGUUACUUUUUCCACAAUUUAUAUACACAAUUCCACUUGCAUAAAUAAUACUUUUCAUCUUAUAAAACGUGAUGCAUAAUCCAUAAUAAGAUUAAGACAGGUUACUUACCUUAAAUUGCUCAUCCAAAUGCCAAUUCUCCAAUACCUAGCAAGAUCAUUAAAUUACAUAUCACUUGCACAUUUAAUUUCUAUUUAUUUAUAAUCUUAAAGUCAUUUACAGCCCAUCCAUUGGACUCAAUUUCAUUUUCGGGUCCAUAACCUAGUUCCAUUUCUGGGUCAGGCCCAUGGCCUAAUUCAAUUUCUGGUUCUGGUCUAAUCUACUUUCUGGUUCGGAUUUGAUUCCAUUUCUG
rnacentral:lncRNA from 1 species